rnacentral:rRNA from 1 species
UACGUAGGGCGCAAGCGUUGUCCGGAAUUAUUGGGCGUAAAGAGCUCGUAGGCGGUCUGUCGCGUCUGUUGUGAAAAACUCGAGGCUCAACCUCGGGCUUGCAGUGGAUACGGGCAGACUAGAGUGCGGUAGGGGAGACUGGAAUUCCUGGUGUAGCGGUGAAAUGCGCAGAUAUCAGGAGGAACACCGGUGGCGAAGGCGGGUCUCUGGGCCGAUACUGACGCUGAGGAGCGAAAGCGUGGGGAGCGAACAGG